GGUGUAGUCAGUCCUUUCCACACAUGCUACAUUCGCGUUCGUUGCAAGCUUUCUUACACUGGUAAUCUCACGUAUUGGCCCAUACGGGCAAAUGCGCCAACUAGCACUUACUAAUUAUAAUAACUUCACUCAAGAGGAAGAUGACAAUCUUCUGACUUCAAACUCUGGACUAAGCCUUCAGAUGUUCGAAGAACACUGAAUCAGAGAAGACCGCAAAUUUUGGAGACAUGAUUUGUCAACGAUCCACCUUUACUACACUUCAUCAUUCCAGCAAUUCCACGCGAUGACUAAAAUCAAAAUCCUCGUAAGAUACCCUGAAAUGUCUGCUAACUGAGACAGCUUUAGGAUUGAGCGAUCACAUCAUGACGUACAGACGUAACAGACAUCCGGGAAGUCCGUGGAUAUGACUCAGUAAUCGCCGUAUUCUCAGCAGUAAUGGAACGAACACUUCAUUAGAAAGCUGUCUACUUACGCAGGAUAACUUCUUAAGCACCCACUUUCAGUAAUGACCCACUGCUUAGGACGUUAUGAUCCUGAUUAGAAUUCUGGUUUUUGCACAAGAAAUUUGUAACAUUUGUAACGGGCGCUUAGAUCAUUUCUCUGACAUUAAUUAUUGAUUCUUAACAAAAAUCCCAGCAUUAUUCACACGCAUAUGUAAAAGUUAGCAUUAACUAUUUGUAGUUUGCACGGUAGAAUGUUGUGUCAAAUCAGCUAAUGUUUAAAAAAACCCAA